ACAAACGUAUUUAGACACUGUAAGCCAUAAGCUAAUCUUCAUAUUUUUCAGGCAAAAGAAAUGGGGGCAUCAAAAACGGCAAUCUAUAUCGUUUUCGUCCUUUAUCUCACAUAAUUGAGGCCGGAUUGAGGCCACCAUGCGGCUCGUCAUCAGAAUUUUGCGAGUUGGAGUGUUUUAGAGAAACAGGCCAGAGAGGACAAGGGAAAUGUAGGCGAGGAGAGUGUUAUUGUAACAAGGCGAUGCAGUGCAAGAUGGACCGUGAUUGUCCCGACUCUGUUAAAUGCCCUGUAGACUACUAUCGCUCUUGUCUUCAUGGAAAAUGUACGUGUAUAACUGAUUAAUCGAUUCCAAAGAUAAUUACAAUACAUUUGUUCCUCCUACUUAAUCUCUGAUUAUAUGCAAUUCUUAUAUU